AGGCUGCCGCAGAGUAUGACUUUUAACGUUAAGCAAAUCCAUGAAAGGAGUUUUCAUCAUAGAUUUAACAGUGUUGCUAUGCUCACUGUAUGGGAGCGACACCGAGUAUUGGUACUAAGCGAAGCGAUAGAAAUGUGUGAGAAGGCUACACGUGAGAACAUGGAUGUAUCCAAUGCAUCACUGGAUAUUUCAGCUGAAAUAGACAUUGAGCCCGAAAGUGUUAGAAGAUGUCCUGAUAAGCGUAUGGAUACACAACAAAGAACAAAUGCAACUUGAAUAAACAUGUCAAGAGGAUGCAUCCACAACCAAUGACAAGUACUCCAAUAAAAUCGUCAUCAGAUCCUCGUUUUUUCCCUGGAGGCAACAGAAUAAAUUUUGUAGGACUCGCA